GUCGACGUACUUCAUAGGAUCAUUUCCAUAGGUCGCGUCCCUCUUUGACUCUUCAAAAGAGCCACUGAAUCCAACUUGGUUGAUGAGUGAGAUUACCCUUAUACCCUCAAAGUGAGAUAAUAACAUGAAAUUUUUUGCUUGACCGUGAUUCUUUGCAAUCUGGCCAUCUACUUAUAAUGUUUUGCCUUUAACUUUUUUUUGAUGCUAACCUANUCAUAGGUGAUGCAUUUAAUAUUUAUAAAGGAGCGAUGAUCUUUACCCUUUUCAUUGUGCCUUCUAGGAGGAUUUUGAAUUGGGUGGGUAUAAGUGGCUGUCUGACANGU
rnacentral:snoRNA from 10 species